rnacentral:rRNA from 1 species
GAGUUUGAUCGUGGCUCAGAUUGAACGCUGGCGGCAUGCCUUACACAUGCAAGUCGAACGGCAGCAUGAUCUAGCUUGCUAGAUUGAUGGCGAGUGGCGAACGGGUGAGUAAUACAUCGGAACGUGCCCUGUAGUGGGGAGUAACUAGUCGAAAGAUUAGCUAAUACCGCAUACGACCUGAGGGUGGAAAGUAGGGGGACCGGCAAGGCCUCAUGCUAUAGGAGCGGCCGAUGUCUGAUUAGCUAGUUGG